CUUAUUUGGCUCCUGUCUGCAGGGUUUACGCGCACGUUGGAAUCGAAGAGAGCUCUGUUGUUGCACCCACAAGAGCUUACAGGUGAAGGAAUGGGACAAGACCCAUCUUUAUGCAAAGCCAGCGUUACAGUAAUGUUCCAGGUAGGUGUACAUGGUUUAUGCACUUAUAGAGGAGACCUUGCUAGAUAACCACUCCAUGAUGAACACAAAAUGACAAGCAUAUGGCUGAACUUAUCAAGUGAUGUCAUCUUACUACUGAGAAGUGAGAGAGAGGUCUUAAGGGGUCUUUGAAUGACUAUUUUUAGGUACAUAAAAUGACUUCCUCUGUUUUCUACAGCAUCUCAUAAUCUAUCCUGAGGAAUUCAGCUGCCUCCCAGGGUGAAUACAGGUAAUUAUCCAAAUUGGUAUAUGUCAUCUCUAAAUGUUCACAGGAAAACAAGUGGCCGGCGGAAGCAAUAUUGUUUUUUGGCGCCUUCCAUCUUGUUCCUCUUGAAAUGAUUUUCUGGGGAGGGAGAUCGCAACCCGGUACUACAGUUCUUGUAAGGGUGUGCUGUUACCCUCAUCCAUAUAUCGAUCACGUUACUGUCAGAUGAUUUGAAU
rnacentral:sRNA from 1 species